GAUGACGUUCCCACUUCUCAGUAGCUUGUGAAAGUCCUGGCAGCCCCCCAAGGCAGCUUGUGAUGAGCCAAUUCUGGGGCCCUAAAGUCCAUGUCUGUGGUUUCCACCCUAAAUUCAGUUAAAUUCCAUUUGGUCAGGAAUCUGGGAGUGCCAGGCACAGAGAGGUGAGUCAGCUACAGACACGGGCACAGGGACAGUGCUUGGAAUCCCAGAAGGAGCUGUGAGUCGAUGGGGGCAGGGAAGAGAGGAGAGGGCCCUGGCGAGGUCACUUUAAAUUAGAUGUUGCAGUAUCAUGUUUGGCCCCAUACUUAGCAGAGUGAGCUUUUGUAUCUGUCAGCCGUUGUUAUAGAUAUAAGUUUGGCCUUGAGGGAGCAAGCCCUGGAGAGGCAGAUAGAAGAAAAGAGCACUCCAGGAAGAAGACUCAGCAUGAUUGAAAGUGCAGUCAGAGCAGGCAUGGUUUGGUGAUGACAUUCUGGAAGGUUCUUACUUCUGAAGAGACUCAGAAUAUGCAGAGCUAGAGUCACCUUUGCAGGUGUCCUGUGAAAUUCAAGCUUAGUUGUGAUGAGAACAUUUGGGCUUUGGAAUCUGAAUCCAUAUUCUACCCAAUGAGCUUUGUGAGCUUAGGCAAAUCUCCCUGAAAUUCCCUAAACGUCAUACACCCCAUCAGUGAGCUGAGGACAACAAUGGUGUCUAACUUUUAGGUCUGUUGUAUGAAAUGAGAUGAGGCAUGUACACUCUUAGCAGCAAGCCGGCCACAUAAUGGGUGCUAAAUAACCAGCUGCUCUCAUCUCUUUCAUUAGCCAGCAUCCGCUUUCUGAAGGCCACCAAGAUCUGUGUGUCAGGCAAAAGCAACGUCCAGUCCUACAGCUGCGUGAGGUGCAAUUACACAGAGGCCUUCCAGACUCAGACCAGACCCUCUGGAGGCAAAUGGACGUUUUCCUACAUUGGUUUCUCUGUGGAGCUGAACACACAAUAUUUCAUUGGGGCCCAUAACAUCCCCAAUGCAAAUAUGAAUGAUGACAGCCCCUCAUUGUCUGUGAAUUUCACCUCACCAGGCUGCCUAGACCAUCUAAUGAAAUACAAAACCCAGUGCAUCCAGGCAGGUAAGUGAAUACAGCACUUGCUUUUGUUAUUUGAAGGAACUCGUAACUUGAGCCAACAAGCUCAGCCCAUCUUCCAUGAGAAACGGAGGCGAGGGCAGGGGACUAUGUAUGCAAGCUGCUCAGGCAGUGAAGGCUGACCCGCCAGGGCUUUGCCCACUGAAUCCCGCAGCCAGUGUGUCCAGGAAGGACAGACCUGAGUGGGUUUAUGUAGUAAGCAAGUCACAGAACCAUGCCACACCCUGGUGGCUGAACCGACAUUUUAGCUCUAACCACAUAUGGUGGUGCUGAUCAAAGGCCCUUCCUGAUUGGAGGGGAGUCUGUAAGCCCUUCCACCUGCUCGGGCACCUGUAUCUCUGACCUGUGGCCGUGGGGCCCUGGGAACCUUCUAUGUGGAUUAGCAAAUAUUCCUGGUACGAGUACUAGCUGAAACAGUGACCUGAAAGCAUGUUCUCAACCUGUGUCCUCACAGGGGUCACCUCUUACAUGCGAGGCCACUAGAACCUGCCCCUACCCUUUCAAUUUUGAAAUCAGCCCCUUCAGGACAAACAGUCCCAAGUGUCCAAUUUCCAAAGAUUGUAGGACUUGUUUAAAUUUCUGAGUAAUAUAGUGUGAGGAUGCUCAAGAGGCUAGUGGUAUUUAGCAGAAUUGGUCCCUAUCUUUUAGGCACCCCCAUCCCACAAGGCAUCCCUGUGUACCCUGUCA